ACAUUUUAUGACUCGUAUAUCCCUUGAAUAUGGCAAGGAGUCUCUACCGGAAACCUUAAAUUUCCGACUAUGAGUGGAUUUAAUAUA
rnacentral:ncRNA from 1 species